GGUGGCAUGGCUCGGGAGGUAGAGCGGGCGGGCUAGGAAUCACAAGGUCCCUGGUUCGAUCCCCGGUUCUCUCC